rnacentral:rRNA from 1 species
GCAAGGAAUUUUGCGCAAUGGACGAAAGUCUGACGCAGCAACGCCGCGUGGGGGAUGAAGGCCCUCGGGUUGUAAACCCCUUUUGCGAGGGAAGAAGAUCUGACGGUACCUCGCGAAUAAGCCACGGCUAACUACGUGCCAGCAGCCGCGGUAAUACGUAGGUGGCAAGCGUUGUCCGGAUUUACUGGGCGUAAAGCGCGCGCAGGCGGAUUGGUCAGUCUGGGGUGAAAGCUCACGGCUCAACCGUGAGUGGUCCCUGGAUACUGCCAGUCUUGAGAUGUCUAGAGGAGAGCGGAAUUCCCGGUGUAGUGGUGGAAUGCGUAGAUAUCGGGAAGAACACCAGUGGCGAAAGCGGCUCUCUGGGGACCAUCUGACGCUGAGGCGCGAAAGCGUGGGGAGCGAACCGGAUUAGAAACCCUGGUAGUCC